UCGAACGAUGAAGCCCAGCUUGCUGGGUGGAUUAGUGGCGAACGGGUGAGUAACACGUGAGCAACCUGCCCCUGACUCUGGGAUAACAGCCGGAAACGGUUGCUAAUACCGGAUAUGCAUCAUGGCCGCAUGGUCUGUGGUGGGAAAGAUUUUUCGGUUGGGGAUGGGCUCGCGGCCUAUCAGCUUGUUGGUGAGGUAGUGGCUCACCAAGGCGUCGACGGGUAGCCGGCCUGAGAGGGUGACCGGCCACACUGGGACUGAGACACGGCCCAGACUCCUACGGGAGGCAGCAGUGGGGAAUAUUGCACAAUGGGCGGAAGCCUGAUGCAGCAACGCCGCGUGAGGGAUGACGGCCUUCGGGUUGUAAACCUCUUUUAGCAGGGAAGAAGCGAAAGUGACGGUACCUGCAGAAAAAGCGCCGGCUAACUACGUGCCAGCAGCCGCGGUAAUACGUAGGGCGCAAGCGUUAUCCGGAAUUAUUGGGCGUAAAGAGCUCGUAGGCGGUUUGUCGCGUCUGCUGUGAAAACCCGAGGCUCAACCUCGGGCCUGCAGUGGGUACGGGCAGACUAGAGUGCGGUAGGGGAGAUUGGAAUUCCUGGUGUAGCGGUGGAAUGCGCAGAUAUCAGGAGGAACACCGAUGGCGAAGGCAGAUCUCUGGGCCGUUACUGACGCUGAGGAGCGAAAGGGUGGGGAGCAAACAGGCUUAGAUACCCUGGUAGUCCACCCCGUAAACGUUGGGAACUAGUUGUGGGGGCCUUUCCACGGUCUCCGUGACGCAGCUAACGCAUUAAGUUCCCCGCCUGGGGAGUACGGCCGCAAGGCUAAAACUCAAAGGAAUUGACGGGGACCCGCACAAGCGGCGGAGCAUGCGGAUUAAUUCGAUGCAACGCGAAGAACCUUACCAAGGCUUGACAUACACCGGAAACGUCUGGAAACAGUCGCCCCUUUUUGGUCGGUGUACAGGUGGUGCAUGGUUGUCGUCAGCUCGUGUCGUGAGAUGUUGGGUUAAGUCCCGCAACGAGCGCAACCCUCGUUCUAUGUUGCCAGCACGUUAUGGUGGGAACUCAUGGGAUACUGCCGGGUCACUCGGAGGAAGGUGGGGAUGACGUCAAUCAUCAUGCCCUUAUGUCUGGGCUUCMGCAUGCUACAUGGCCGGNCAAGGGCUGCAWWCCGU
rnacentral:rRNA from 1 species